rnacentral:lncRNA from 1 species
GUUUUGUGUUAUGCUUAUCUGAUGCUUGUAGUAGAAAGGGGCUUUUUAUUUUGUUAAAAUACUUUCCAGAUGGACCUGAUGUCUUUCUUGUGAAUGUGUCCUUCCAAAAGCCUUUUCCAUUUCUUUUUUAUCUCCCUAGACAUUUCUUGGCCCCUUCCCCAGUCUUUUACUUCCUCUAUUUUUUUUUUUUUGUGUGUGUGUGUGUGCUUGUCUGUUGUGUGUUUGAAUUGCAAGAAAAUAUUCAAAGGGUAAUCUUUAUGCAACAGCUCUGACCCCCAGGCCUGGAAGGGCUUCUAGAAAAAAAGAGGAGGGCACAGGAUGGCAAAAGGGGGUGGAUCCUGCUGGAUGGUACAGAGCUCCUGGAAUAGUAAUCUUGUGUGUAAUAUUCAGACAGGUAUUACUGCCAAGGUGAACACUGAGUUCUGUUUGAAGGGGAAAAGUGGAAAAAAAAGAUUGGUCACUUGUAAAAUGGAGAUAAAAUGAUGAAUUUUAUUGGGAAGAACAGUUCGAAGACUUUAUUCUCUAAAAAGGAAGAGAGUGGCACUGACUUCACGAGUUUCUCUUCUUCCCCAGACCCCGACAUAUAAGCAGCCUCUUCUCCCCAGAAUCCCACAUGACACAAGAGUAACAAGUCAGCAUUCAAAGAUGUUUGGGUGAUUUGAAUCUCAGAGGGAUAAAAUGAUGACAUACAAACAUUCUUGAUAAUAGGGAAAAAGAAAAUAAAAUUGAUGGGUGCCACCCUUUAACAGAAUUCAUUCAUUUUUGAGUUGGAAUGAGCAAAUCUAGAGGCCUAGCUAGCACUUUGAGUUUCUCAGAGAAUUUCCUGGGCAAGGGUAAGAUAUUAUUGGCAUCACCAUCACAUUGGGCAAUACUAAGCAUUGUACAUUAUUUUACUUGAGUUAAAAUACCCAUAACAUAAAAUUUACCAUCUUAACUAGCAAGCAUGCUGUUCAGCAGCAUUAAUAUUCACAUGGUUGUAUAGUCAACCUCCAGAAUUUUUCCAUCUUACAAAACUGAAACUCUGUAUCCAUUAAACAACUUCCUAUUUUCCCUUUCUUACCAGCCCCUGGCAACACCAUGCUACUUUCUGUUUCUACAAAUUCAACUUCUCUAGGUACCUCAGUUAAGUGGAAUCCGUACAGUAUUUGUCUUCCUGUGACUUCCUUUUUUCACUUAGCUUAAUGUCAUUAAGGCUCCUCCACAUCGUAGCAUAUUGGAAUUUGUUUCUUUUUUAAGGUCAGAUAUCCCACUUAUAUAUAUGUCACAUGUUCUUCAUUCACUAAUCCAUCAAUAACAUUUGGU